rnacentral:rRNA from 1 species
UACGGUAGGGUGCAAGCGUUAAUCGGAAUUACUGGGCGUAAAGCGUGCGCAGGCGGUUUUGUAAGUCUGUCGUGAAAUCCCCGGGCUCAACCUGGGAAUUGCGAUGGAGACUGCAAGGCUGAGAAUCUGGCAGAGGGGGUAGAAUUCCACGUGUAGCAGUGAAAUGACGUAGAGAGUGUGGAGGAACACCGAUGGCGAAGGCAGCCCCCUGG